rnacentral:lncRNA from 1 species
UCUAUGUCAACGCCGGUUAAAAUGACAAUCUACAGAACAAAUCUACGAAGCAAAUACAAGCGUGACUGAACUUUGUGCGUGACUUAUAGAUAGGUUAGAGGCUGCACUACUGUAAGAUGUUCCUAGAUUUAAAGGUUACCUUGACAGGGAGGAUGUAACUCAUGACCAACAGAAUUUUAUAAUGUACUUUUUACUCAAGCAGUAUUUCAGCUACCUAUUCUUAUUAUUCACCGGGAAAAUUGUGCAAAAGCGGAACAGGGACAGCCUAAACGAACGAUCAGAGCCGGCGAAAUAAUCGUCCUCGCGUUUUCCUCCAGAUCCUAUCUCUCGGAGAGCGCUUUCCAUUGCGCAACCAGGCUUCGUUUCCUGGUUCCAUGGCAGGAAGAUGCCACCAAGGAAAAAAAUCCGCCUGACAAUAACGCGUGUUACGCGAUCGUACGUGUUAGUCGAGCAGCUCGCUUUACCAACAAUUACGGGACCUGACGGCGCGCAUACCUAGCGGGUAUGCCCCCGGCCAAUUACAACUUCCUUCGAUCGACUUGUCUGCGCUGCUUACCUGGCUCGUCUUCCUCAAGGUUCUUCGAUACGAAAGUCUGGCUAAGAACCGCUGGACUGUGCGUGACACUGAUCAUCAAUUUCGUAACGCUACACG